rnacentral:misc_RNA from 1 species
AGCAACGCAUCCGAACGAAGUGUUGGGCUCGGGAAGGUAGUGUCAAUAAUAACGAAUUUCCGAGCGAUUUUUUUCGCUCUUUAACCUCCUUUUCUCGCUCUGUCCUCGCCCCCCUGCGACGGAGAAGGAGGAGGAUAAGUGAGGAUAAUUAGGAAGCGAGAAAAGGGUGAGGGAGAGGUGUAAUAACAGCGAGAGAGUGGAGUACAGAGGACGCGUGAAGCACACGCGAGAGAGAAAUGCCCAGCAAGUGACACAAUCAACAGGCAAGAUGGACAAUAGCAUGUAUUACCAGUAUAACCGAUUUGCCGACAAGAGCAAAUCGGAGCAUGAAGGCUAUGCAACAGCCCCUCCAGUGACAAACACAGUGCAGAAUUCAAACCAAAACCAAUUUGGCAAAUUUGGGGCGACCACAAUGCAGAGGCAAUCGCAGUACCAAGGUUCCUACAAUUCAAUGGACACCAAUGACUCCAGUCAGUCCACCAAAUUUGGAAAUACAUCCCAGAGACCCCAGCAGUAUAGUGAGUCUGGGGAUGCCAACAAAACAGAUGCAUCCCAGACAGAGAGGUAUGGAAGUGGAUCACAGAAGCAAGGACAGUAUGAUGCAUCCUAUGAAAUGAUGGACAUGCAGAAUUCAAAUAGGUACGGGAGUGGCUACGGGAAUCCAUACAUGAUGGGCGGCUACUACGAUGACUACGGGCAUUCAGGGUAUUAUAGUGACUACGGGAUGUAUAGUGGGUAUGGCUAUUCACAUACAUCUGAGAGGUAUGGAGAGAUGGAUUACUAUGGUGGUUCCGGUAUGCAGGAAGGUUAUGGAGGCACCAGUCAGUCUGGGAACUAUGGAAGUGGGACUCAGUCUCAGUCAAAUAAUAAAUUUGGCACUAAGGACCAGUCUGAGGAAUACGGAAGUUAUAUGACUAAUAGGUUUACAAAUAAAACCCAAAGUGAGAACUAUGGAACCCCGCCUCCCCCACCAGGGAACAGAUUCGGAAGUAAAGAUCAGCCAAACAACUAUGAGCCCCCCCCACCACCCCCACCAAACCGAUUUGGGAAUAAAGACCAGCCAAGUAAUUAUGGGACUCCACCUCCACCGCCAAGCCGAUUUGGCAACAAAGAUAUACCUAAUUUAUACGGAACUCCACCGCCCCCACCCAGCCGAUUUGGGAACAAGGAACAGUCAAGCAACUAUGGAACACAGCCACCUCCACCUGGCCGUUUCGGGAACAAGGACCAAGUGGACAACUAUGGAACUCCUCCACCUCCCCCACCAGGACGCUUUGGAGGCAAGGAUCCACCAAACAAAUAUGACCAGCCACCCCCUCCUCCACCAAGUCGCUUCGGUAGCAAGGACCAACCAAACAAUUACUCAAACCCUCCUCCUCCCCCAGGCAGAUUUGGAAACAAAGAUCAGGGAGACAGCUUUGGAAAAUCCAAUGUUCCAGGUCGAUUUGGAAAUAAUGACAAUGACAAUGGUGGAUAUGGAACCCCACCUUUAGGCAACAGAUAUGGAGGCAAAGAUAUGCCAAACAGGUUUGGAGGUAAUGACCAGGGAGACGGCUACUCAAGCUCCUAUCCACACAACCGCUUUGGGAAUUCAGAGUACUCGGACAGCUACAGCAAAUCAAAUCAAGGGAACAGGCCUGGUAAUUCUGGCCCUUCAAACAAGUUUGGAAAUUCAGACCAGAUGAACAGAUUUAAUAAUGAGGAUCCCUCAGAAAACUACGGGGGAAACCAAGGCUACUCUAACAGAUAUAGUGGUGGAAAUGACCGUGAUGACUAUAGGAACUCAGACCAGAUAGACAGGUUUGGAAAGCCACCUCAGCAUAGCAAAUCCAACUUGUCCAACUCAUCAAAUGCACCCAAUGCAUCGCAGAGCUUACUUGGAACACCAAAUAUGAACCAGCAAAAUAAUUUUGGAAACAACACAAACAAGCAGCAGCAACAGCAGCAGCAACAACAACAACAGAAGCAGCAGCAGCAACAGCAGCAGCAGCUUAACAAACCAACACAGAGCUUACUGGGUUUCCCAAAUUCGGGGAAACAAAACUCAAUGGGAAACACAGGGCAGAAAUUUAACCCUGCUCCAGGGCUCUUAGAUCUACCAGGCAGCAACCAGAUGAAUAAAUUUGGGAAUAACAACCAGAAGCAGCAGCAGCCAUUUGGCAUAAUGCCAAGUCUGUUAGGGUUUCCUGAUGCAGAAAUGUUUAAUAAAUUCACAAGUGCCAUGCAGAAGAUGGCACAGGCUCAGUUCAACGCCGCAGGUGGCUUGUUGCCGCCCCCAGAUAUGGCCAAUCGAUGUGGUGGAAAGAAUGCAGAGAUUGCCCCUCCAUCCAGCAUGGCCCCUUGUAAGGAGCCUGAGCGCUUUAAUGAACUCCCCAAGAAACCAGUGGCCACAACCAAGAAGCCACUUUCACAGCAAGGCCCACCUCGGAACCCUACACAGCAGGGUAUGCUACCUGUAAGGGGUCUUCAAGCACAGCUCCAGAGCCUUCAGGCACAAAUCCAAAGUAGGGGCCCAAGUUUAGGAAUGGCUGUAGAGCCAGGGAAGAACACGGUGCACUUUGACCUCCUAACUGGGAAGAUGAUUGGCCAGAAGCCACCCCCAAUGACCUUCCAAAGAGGGGGGAAAGGAGGACCACCCCAAGGACGUUUCAGCAAACGGGCUGGACUUGGCAUGAAGUCAGCCAUGGGAGAGGGCCACUAUGGCAAGGGAUUCAAGGGACAGAAGCAGAUGAACAAGAUGGCUAUGAAGAUGGGGAAGAACAAGGGUCAAAUGAAUAAGGCACAAAUGAACAAAGCCAUGAAGCAAGGCCAGUUCAAUAAAGGCAACACAAAGAUGGGCCAGAGGAUGGGGCAGUAUAACCAGUCAAUGGCAUUCCAGAAUCCAUGGGCCAAAAAGGUUCAACGUGAUGCUGUCGAGGAUAAGGUAGCACUGGUGCCGUGAGCCCUCUUCCACCACCACCACUACUCUCCAGGCAGAUAAACCAGAAUUCGGAUACAACUAGGCACCAGGAGAAUGAUCCUCCCCUCCCCACUGUGGUGCCAUAAAGCAGCAUAAUGCAUGGCAGGAUGUUCAACUAGGCCAGUUGCAUGCCACUGCUCCAAUCACAUCACUGUUUGGAAUGAAGAUGAUGCGCAAGAUGGGAUGGACUCCUGGUGAAGGUCUUGGCAAGAACAGGAAGGGGACGCUCGAGCCCCUGCUUGUCGACGUCA